GGCUGGUCCGAAGAUAGUGAGUUAGCUCAAUGGAUUGUGCACCGUCAGUUACAGGUAGAACUCCUUGUUCCACUUUUACCCCCUUCUCACUACUGCAUUUGACUACUUUUUUU
rnacentral:Y_RNA from 1 species